rnacentral:snRNA from 1 species
AUCACAAUGGGUGCACAUAUACUAAAAUUGGAACAAUACAGAGAUAGGCAUGGUCCCUGUGCAAGGAUGACAUGCAAAUGCGUGAAGUGUUUCACAUUUUU